UACGUAGGGUGCGAGCGUUGUCCGGAAUUAUUGGGCGUAAAGAGCUCGUAGGCGGUCUGUCGCGUCGAUCGUGAAAACUUGGGGCUUAACCCUGAGCUUGCGGUCGAUACGGGCAUGACUGGAGUUCGGCAGGGGAGACUGGAAUUCCUGGUGUAGCGGUGAAAUGCGCAGAUAUCAGGAGGAACACCGGUGGCGAAGGCGGCUUGCUGGGCGUAGUCUGACGCUGAGGCGCGAAAGCGUGGGGAGCGAACAGG
rnacentral:rRNA from 1 species